AACUUUGUGCAGUGGCUAUUUCAUAGCCAAUGAAGUUUAUCCAAGGUGCAAUUAUUGCUAAUUGAAAAUUUUCCCAUUCAACACUCCACUAUGAUGACUUGAAAUAUAGUCCGCAUGGGCAAUUUUUGGCAGUCUCUACAGAGA